rnacentral:rRNA from 1 species
CAGCAGCCGCGGUAAUACGUAGGACGCGAGCGUUAUCCGGAUUUACUGGGCGUAAAGCGCGUGCAGGCGGUAUGGUAAGUCGGACGUGAAAGCUCCCGGCUCAACUUCAAAAUCGCAGUCGAAACUGUUUGACUAGAGUAUAGUAGGGGUAAAGGGAAUUUCCAGUGGAGCGGUGAAAUGCGUAGAUAUCGGGAGGAAUACCAAUGGCGAAGGCAGGUUCCUGGACCAAUACUGACACUAAUCUGCGAAAGCUGGGGGAGCAAACAGGAUUAGAUACCCUGGUAGUCCCAGCUGUAAACGAUGCUCACUAGGUGUGGGAGGUAUCGACCCCUUCCGCGCCGACGCUAACGCAUUAAGUGAGCCGCCUGGGGAGUACGGCCGCAAGGUUGAAACUCAAAGGAAUUGACGGGGGCUCGCACAAGCGGUGGAUCAUGUGGCUUAAUUCGAUGCUACACGAAGAACCUUACCAAGACUUGAAAUCCAAAUGACGAUCUUAGGAAACUAAGAUUUCCUUCGGGCAUUUGGCAGGUGUUGCAUGGCCGUCGUCAGUUCGAGAUUUGAAUUGUUCCCUUAAGUGGGGAAACGAACGCAACCCCUAUUGUCUGUUAUACGUGUCAGGCGAGACUGCUACCUCACGGUAGAGGAAGGUGGGGAUGACGCCAGGUCAGCAUGACCUUUAUGUCUUGGGCUGCACACAUGAUACAAUGGUUAUUACAACGGGACGCAAUAUCGUAAGAUGGAGCAAAUCCUAAUAAAGAUAGCCUAAGUUCGGAUUGAGGUCUGCAAUUUGACCUCAUGAAGUUGGAAUCGCUAGUAAUCGCAGGUCAGCUAUACUGCGGUGAAUACGUUCUCGAGCCUUGUACUCACCGCCCGUCAAGUCAAGGAAGCCGGGAGUGCUCAAAGUCCCAUUUCGGUGGGCCUACAGUAAACUCGGUAACAGGGGCUAAGUCGUAACAAGGUAACCGUA